AGUGAACGCUGGCGGUAGGCCUAACACAUGCAAGUCGAACGGCAGCACAGUAAGAGCUUGCUCUUACGGGUGGCGAGUGGCGGACGGGUGAGGAAUACAUCGGAAUCUACUUUUUCGUGGGGGAUAACGUAGGGAAACUUACGCUAAUACCUCAUACGACCUACGGGUGAAAGCAGGGGAUCUUCGGACCUUGCGCGAUUGAAUGAGCCGAUGUCGGAUUAGCUAGUUGGCGGGGUAAAGGCCCACCAGGGCGACGAUCCGUAGCUGGUCUGAGAGGAUGAUCAGCCACACUGGAACUGAGACACGGUCCAGACUCCUACGGGAGGCAGCAGUGGGGAAUAUUGGACAAAGGGCGAAAGCCUGAUCCAGCCAUACCGCGUGGGUGAAGAAGGCCUUCGGGUUGUAAAGCCCUUUUGUUGGGAAAGAAAAGCAGCAGGUUAAUACCCCGCUGUUCUGACGGUACCAAAAGAAUAAGCACCGGCUAACUUCGUG
rnacentral:rRNA from 1 species